AAGUCGUAACAAGGUUUUCGUAGGUGAACCUGCGGAAGGAUCAUUAGUGAAUUCUGGGAGUCCCUCUUAACCGGAGAAGGCCCGCUUACACUUAUUCUUACACACUGUGCAUUUGUCCUUUUUUUACAAACCUUACCAUUUUUUAACACUUGGUGCAUUAUAAAAAAGUGAUUGGAUACAAACGAAAGUUGAUAAUUGAGAAAAACUUUCAGCAAUGGAUCUCUUGGCUCUC
rnacentral:misc_RNA from 1 species